AUGCUGCACUGCACAGUGGUUUGGGGCUCCCGGCUCUGCUGCUGGGUGCUGCUUUGCCUCCUGGGGGCAGGCCCACUGGAUUCUGGAGUCACCCAGACCCCAAAACACCUGAUCAAAGCACCAGGACAGCAGGUGAUGCUGAGCUGUUCCCCCCUUUCUGGGCACCUCUCUGUGUCCUGGUACCAGCAGGCCCAGGGUCAGGGUCCCAAGUUCCUCCUUGAAUAUUUCAGCGGGAAAGAGAGAGACAAAGGCCACAUCCCAGGCCGGUUCUCAGGUCGACAGUUCUCUGACUACCACUCGGAGCUGAACGUGAGUGCCCUGGAGCUGGCGGACUCCGCCGUGUUCCUCUGUGCCAGUAGCUUGGCACAGCCCUGUAGAGUCACUGCUACCCUGUACAUAAACCCCUCUGCCCAGUUCAGGAAGUGAC